rnacentral:rRNA from 1 species
UACGGAGGGUGCGAGCGUUGUUCGGAAUCACUGGGCGUAAAGCGCGUGUAGGCGGCCUUUUAAGUUCGGUGUGAAAGCCCGGGGCUCACCCCCGGAAGUGCACUGGACACUGAGAGACUAGAGUACCGGAGAGGAGGGUGGAAUUCCUGGUGUAGCGGUGAAAUGCGUAGAUAUCAGGAGGAACACCGGUGGCGAAGGCGGCCCUCUGGACGGCUACUGACGCUGAGACGCGAAAGCGUGGGGAGCAAACAGG